UCUAGAUUUUAGACCAAGGAUGGACCACCUCCAAGCCCUUUGCUCCUUGAAGUCCUUGAGCCUAGCUUCCCUCCUUGCCUCCUCCACUUUGUUAGUAAGAGUGCUCCAAGGUUCUCUCCAAGUUUCCAAAGUAGAAAACCUCUAAAGAUCCACACCCACUAGUGUAGUGAGAUGGAUGGAGGAAUAACCAAAAGGGUGAAAGAUGUUAGUAAAAACACCCCAAGGUGGCCGGCCUUUGUAGUGUUUUAGAGAGAUAUUUCUUUUGCCUCUUUGUUGUUUUAAACACACACAAAAACCCUAAUGAACUUUGUGCUAUAAAGUUCCUUAUAUAGACAAAAAGAAACCUAGUCAACAACUUGACUAAAUAUCUCUCCCUUUCCACUUGC
rnacentral:lncRNA from 1 species